rnacentral:rRNA from 1 species
AUUGAACGCUGGCGGAAUGCUUUACACAUGCAAGUCGAACGGCAGCACGGGAGCUUGCUCCUGGUGGCGAGUGGCGAACGGGUGAGUAAUAUAUCGGAACGUAUCCAAUAAUGGGGGAUAACUAGUCGAAAGAUUAGCUAAUACCGCAUACGCCCUGAGGGGGAAAGCUGGGGAUCUUCGGACCUAGCGUUAAUGGAGCGGCCGAAUAUCUGAUUAGCUAGUAGGUGAGGUAAGAGCUCACCUAGGCGACGAUCAGUAGCUGGUCUGAGAGGACGACCAGCCACACUGGAACUGAGACACGGUCCAGACUCCUACGGGAGGCAGCAGUGGGGAAUUUUGGACAAUGGGCGCAAGCCUGAUCCAGCCAUUCCG